CUAUUAAUUAUCUGAAGUUUAGUUAUAAUUCAGAUUCUGAUUCAGUAGGUGGAAGGUGCAGUAUGGGAUUCUGCAGUUCUAACAACUUCCAUGUGAUGCAAAC
rnacentral:pre_miRNA from 1 species